GUGACUAAUGCCUAGGAAUCUGCCUGGUAGUGGGGGACAACGUUUCGAAAGGAACGCUAAUACCGCAUACGUCCUACGGGAGAAAGUGGGGGAUCUUCGGACCUCACGCUAUCAGAUGAGCCUAGGUCGGAUUAGCUAGUUGGUGAGGUAAAGGCUCACCAAGGCGACGAUCCGUAACUGGUCUGAGAGGAUGAUCAGUCACACUGGAACUGAGACACGGUCCAGACUCCUACGGGAGGCAGCAGUGGGGAAUAUUGGACAAUGGGCGAAAGCCUGAUCCAGCCAUGCCGCGUGUGUGAAGAAGGUCUUCGGAUUGUAAAGCACUUUAAGUUGGGAGGAAGGGCAGUAAGUUAAUACCUUGCUGUUUUGACGUUACCAACAGAAUAAGCACCGGCUAACUUCGUGCCAGCAGCCGCGGUAAUACGAAGGGUGCAAGCGUUAAUCGGAAUUACUGGGCGUAAAGCGCGCGUAGGUGGUUCGUUAAGUUGGAUGUGAAAGCCCCGGGCUCAACCUGGGAACUGCAUCCAAAACUGGCGAGCUAGAGUAUGGCAGAGGGUGGUGGAAUUUCCUGUGUAGCGGUGAAAUGCGUAGAUAUAGGAAGGAACACCAGUGGCGAAGGCGACCACCUGGGCUAAUACUGACACUGAGGUGCGAAAGCGUGGGGAGCAAACAGGAUUAGAUACCCUGGUAGUCCACGCCGUAAACGAUGUCGACUAGCCGUUGGGAUCCUUGAGAUCUUAGUGGCGCAGCUAACGCAUUAGUCGACCGCCUGGGGAGUACGGCCGCAAGGUUUAAAACUCAAUGAAUUGACGGGGGCCCGCACAAGCGGUGGAGCAUG
rnacentral:rRNA from 1 species